AUUGCUCCUCAGCCUUUUGGCUAAGAUCAAGUGUAAAAAAAGGAGCAGAUUUUUUUUUUUUUUUUUUUGUAUAUUAGAGUGGCAAACUUGUAGUGAUUUGUAGCCUCCAGGGCUGGUAAGCAUUUGCAAAAUCAGCAUUCAAGUCAUCUCUA
rnacentral:snRNA from 1 species